rnacentral:tmRNA from 2 species
ACUCUUUCAAUUCAAUAAAACAGGCCCUAUAUAAGCCCUGCUGGCUUUGGCCAGCUAUGGCGAUAAACGGACGAUGCAAUAAGCCCAUUGGACCCGGGGGCGGUACCCGGCGCCUCCACCACAAUGCAGCUGAUUUCGCUGCCUUGUGGCGGGGGCGAAAUAGGAUCGACAAGGGUGUAAAGAUCGAACUUUUGCCCGGCAUUGUACCACCGUUAUCGGGCUAACUCAGUAGUUGCAAACGACAACUAUGCGGAAGCACGUCUCGCUGCUUAAUUGCGGUGUGAUCGCUUCAAAUUAAGUCCUAGGGGUUCGCACUUCUAGGCGGGGUUCGGAGGUACCUGGCAACAGAAACCUCCACU